rnacentral:rRNA from 1 species
UACGUAGGGUGCGAGCGUUGUCCGGAAUUACUGGCGUAAAGAGCUCGUAGGUGGUUUGUCGCGUUGUCCGUGAAAACUCACAACUCAAUUGUGGGCGUGCGGGCGAUACGGGCAGACUGGAGUACUGCAGGGGAGACUGGAAUUCCUGGUGUAGCGGUGGAAUGCGCAGAUAUCAGGAGGAACACCGGUGGCGAAGGCGGGUCUCUGGGCAGUAACUGACGCUGAGGG